GACGAACGCUGGCGGCGUGCCUAAUACAUGCAAGUAGAACGCUGAAGAGAGGAGCUUGCUCUUCUUGGAUGAGUUGCGAACGGGUGAGUAACGCGUAGGUAACCUGCCUGGUAGCGGGGGAUAACUAUUGGAAACGAUAGCUAAUACCGCAUAAAAUUGAUUAUUGCAUGAUAAUUAAUUGAAAGAUGCAACUGCAUCACUACCAGAUGGGCCUGCGUUGUAUUAGCUAGUUGGUGAGGUAACGGCUCACCAAGGCGACGAUACAUAGCCGACCUGAGAGGGUGAUCGGCCACACUGGGACUGAGACACGGCCCAGACUCCUACGGGAGGCAGCAGUAGGGAAUCUUCGGCAAUGGGGGGAACCCUGACCGAGCAACGCCGCGUGAGUGAAGAAGGUUUUCGGAUCGUAAAGCUCUGUUGUAAGAGAAGAACGGGUGUGAGAGUGGAAAGUUCACACUGUGACGGUAUCUUACCAGAAGGGGACGGCUAACUACGUG
rnacentral:rRNA from 1 species